rnacentral:sRNA from 1 species
ACUGGGCAUGGUGGCGCAUGCCUGUAAUCCCAGUAGCUCUGGAGGCUAAGGCAGGAAGAUCAUGAGUUCAAAGCCAGCCUCAACCCUAAGCAACUUAAUGAGACCCUUUCUUUA